rnacentral:rRNA from 1 species
UGCAGUCGAGCGGAACGACUUAACUGAACCUUCGGGGGACGUUAAGGGCGUCGAGCGGCGGACGGGUGAGUAAUGCCUAGGAAGUUGCCCAGUAGAGGGGGAUAACCAUUGGAAACGAUGGCUAAUACCGCAUAACCUCUUCGGAGCAAAGCAGGGGACCUUCGGGCCUUGCGCUAUUGGAUACGCCUAGGUGGGAUUAGCUAGUUGGUGAGGUAAGGGCUCACCAAGGCGACGAUCCCUAGCUGGUCUGAGAGGAUGAUCAGCCACACUGGAACUGAGACACGGUCCAGACUCCUACGGGAGGCAGCAGUGGGGAAUAUUGCACAAUGGGCGAAAGCCUGAUGCAGCCAUGCCGCGUGUGUGAAGAAGGCCUUCGGGUUGUAAAGCACUUUCAGCAGUGAGGAAGAUGGKAAGMUUAAUACKCUGAUCUCUUGACGUUAGCUGCAGAAGAAGCACCGGCUAACUCCGUGCCAGCAGCCGCGGUAAUACGGAGGGUGCGAGCGUUAAUCGGAAUUACUGGGCGUAAAGCGCAUGCAGGUGGUGAGUUAAGUCAGAUGUGAAAGCCCGGGGCUCAACCUCGGAAUUGCAUUUGAAACUGGCUCACUAGAGUACUGUAGAGGGGGGUAGAAUUUCAGGUGUAGCGGUGAAAUGCGUAGAGAUCUGAAGGAAUACCAGUGGCGAAGGCGGCCCCCUGGACAGAUACUGACACUCAGAUGCGAAAGCGUGGGGAGCAAACAGGAUUAGAUACCCUGGUAGUCCACGCCGUAAACGAUGUCUACUUGGAGGUUGUGGCCUUGAGCCGUGGCUUUCGGAGCUAACGCGUUAAGUAGACCGCCUGGGGAGUACGGUCGCAAGAUUAAAACUCAAAUGAAUUGACGGGGGCCCGCACAAGCGGUGGAGCAUGUGGUUUAAUUCGAUGCAACGCGAAGAACCUUACCUACUCUUGACAUCCAGAGAACUUAGCAGAGAUGCUUUGGUGCCUUCGGGAACUCUGAGACAGGUGCUGCAUGGCUGUCGUCAGCUCGUGUUGUGAAAUGUUGGGUUAAGUCCCGCAACGAGCGCAACCCUUAUCCUUGUUUGCCAGCACUUCGGGUGGGAACUCCAGGGAGACUGCCGGUGAUAAACCGGAGGAAGGUGGGGACGACGUCAAGUCAUCAUGGCCCUUACGAGUAGGGCUACACACGUGCUACAAUGGCGCAUACAGAGGGCGGCCAACCAGCGAUGGUGAGCGAAUCCCAAAAAGUGCGUCGUAGUCCGGAUUGGAGUCUGCAACUCGACUCCAUGAAGUCGGAAUCGCUAGUAAUCGUAGAUCAGAAUGCUACGGUGAAUACGUUCCCGGGCCUUGUACACACCGCCCGUCACACCAUGGGAGUGGGCUGCAAAAGAAGUGGGUAGUUUAACCUUCGGGAGGACGCUC